rnacentral:rRNA from 1 species
UACGUAGGUGGCUAACGUUGUCCGGAUUUACUGGGCGUAAAGAGCGCGCAGGCGGUCGUUCAAGUCGAGUGUGAAAGCCCCCGGCUCAACUGGGGAGGGUCACGCGAUACUGAUCGACUCGAAGGCAGGAGAGGGAAGUGGAAUUCCCGGUGUAGUGGUGAAAUGCGUAGAUAUCGGGAGGAACACCAGUGGCGAAGGCGACUUCCUGGCCUGUUCUUGACGCUGAGGCGCGAAAGCUAGGGGAGCAAACGGG